AGUAAAUUUCUCAGCUCUGCUCAAACAGAAGGAAACUUGUCGAUACCCGUUGCUUGCCGUUGAAAGCCUGACCUCCUGCUUGCUCCAUCAGGGUAUAAAAAGAUACCACCAUAAAGCAACGUGCGGUGGACAUCUGCAACCAUGCUGCAAGGCAAUAGGAUUAUUGGAAGCUAGCUUUUUGGGAACAGAAUGAGCUAACAAGUGGGAAAAAGAAUGUGAUUCUGACAGGAACUUCCGUACAUACAAUAGCCAGCUGCCAACAGAUUUCUUCCAGGUUGCAGUACAUCAUCAAGGGUUGGGUUAUCCUUAUCUUUCACUAAGUAUAUACCAAAAAUCUGUUUACAUGAGGAAACAUUGAGGUUAGCAUUUGACUGAAACCAGUCUAUGGAGUCCAAGCAAAGGGAGUAGAGAGCUGAAGGGGCAUACGGUUCCGAUGGAAACACCGCAGUCAAUGUUCGAGGAUCCAUCCAAAGGGUCAAAAACAACAAUGUAUCUGAAUAAUCAACAGAAACAGUUUGGGCCCAAAAUGUCAGUCUGGAGUUUAUAACUGUAUUGGGUUCAAAAAUGUAAAUUUAAGGAACAGAGAACUUCUGCGGAAACCUUC